rnacentral:rRNA from 1 species
AGCUCCAACAGCGUAUAUUAAAAUUGUUGCGGUUAAAACGCUCGUAGUUGGGUUUUUGUCGGCUGUCUAGGGUCCGUCCAAGUGACCGGCACCCCGGAUGGCUGGCAUUUCUCUGGGGAGGGAGUCCUGUGCUUAGUUGUGCAGCUUCUGAUCCAGAACGAUUACUUUGAGAAAACGAGAGUGUUCCAGGCGGGCUACAUGGCCAGAAUACAUUAGCAUGGAAUAAUGGCACAGGACUUCAUUCCGAAGCUGUUGGUUUACUGGAGUGAGGGAACGCGAAUAGGGAUAGUUGGGGGCAUUCGUAUUUGACUGCUAGAGGUGAAAUUCUUGGAUUUUUCAAAGACGAACUAGUGCGAAAGCAUCUGCCCAGGAUGUUUUUA